GAAGAAGAAGAAGAUGAUGAUGAUGAAGAAGAAGAUGAAGAACAUGAUAAUGAUGAUUGAAUGUUCGACUAUCUUAAGUAUUGGAUCAAAUUGAACUAUCAUUUCAAUAUAGUUAUGUAAAAUACAAUCUUAAAAAUUUGUAGUGAUCCUUUCUUAUUCUUUUUUAUGCAUUGCUAAGACAUUCACUUUAAUUUGUAGUGAUCCUUCCUUAUUCUUUUGUAUUGUUUCACUUAAUUUGUAAACAUUUCAAUGCAGUAAUGACACGAGAAGGUUCAGACCGUCCUGAUAAAGGAAAGAGGGUAGCAAGGACUAAAAAGAGGCAACGGCAGGCCCCAAAGUUAGGGUGCCUGCUGCACUACCUACCCCUGCAGUACACCGUCCCCCUACUACUGCGAUACACCCUCCUCCUCCUACCCCUGCAGUUCACCCUCCUCAUCUUACCCCUACAGUACACCUUCCUCCUCCUACCUCUGUAACAGAGACUCUUCCUCUCCCUAUGAUUAUUACCCUCACUCCUCCUCCCAACCCUACUUCUAUACCUUCCUCAUCUUCUAGAUCGCCUUCUGAGACUGCCACACCAUCUGCUGAUUCAGCUGGUGAUGGGGAUGGUGUUGACCCUCCCCUCCAUGAUCGACCAUGGAUUGAGCCAUAUGGCAAAGGGUUUAUCCCAUCCAGGGUUGUUUCCCAGGCCAUCACACGGUCAAUUAAGCAACAGUAUUUGACUCCAUAGCCUACUUAGGGAGCAAUACCUAUAGACGACAGAAAGCCAUUCUAGGAGCGUUUUAAGUUGAACAAAUUUAAACUAUUUGUCAUUCUUAUUUUAACAUGUUCAUUAAUAAAUGUUUGUUUUGUUCAUCAUUACAGAUGAAGGUACAGUGGAAAGCUGAACAUGAAACACAAAUACAUAGAAAUUUCCACAUGAAAGCAUCUCAUCGGCUCUCAGAGACAUUUAGGGAUGCCCGCAAUGCAGGAGAGUGCCCUUACUGGAUGGGCGAGAACAUUUGGAAUGCUUUGCUUGCACAUUGGAAUUCAGCAGAGUUUCGCAACAAGUGUGCUACAGCCAAGAGAAACAGAGCGUCUGAAAAGGGUGGCGCCUUGCAUACUGGCGGGUCGAUCAUAGUUCACGAGCAUGCCAUUCGUGUGGCACAAGCUCUAGGACGAGCGGUCCAUGUUGACAAGGUCUUUGCACAAACCCAUGUUCGGAAGGGCACUAAUGAAUUCGUUGAUGAAAGAUCUCGCAAGACUCAUGAAACCAAGCAAAUAAAAGUGCUAGUAUUAGUAAUCCACAUGAUUAUGUUAUUGUAUAUAUCAUUCCCUAACGUUGCUUUUAAUGUUUCAAAAGGAAGAAUUUUCCAUGAGACUUUCACAGGUUAGAUCCGAACAUGGGUCAGCUCCUACACCAAAUGAUGCGAGUAAUGCAGAUGACGACAUCCGUAGGACACAAUGUUGGGUCGAUGUCGUUGGUGGGAAGAAAAAGGGAUGAGUCUAUGGUGCAGAACAACUUGCUGCAAACUAUACAACAUCGAGAGGAGGUUCACUGAAGCACUAACCUUCUUCUUCCACCCCUUCUACUGACGAGGCCAUUCAGUGCUUGACACAGCUACUAGAGCAACAUGACCAGGAAAACUGUGAAUUGAGAGAAGAAUACAGUGACUUGAGAGACGAUUUUACAAACUUCAAGUCCCUGGUCAUGAGAGCGCUGCCUCAAACUUCAGACACUCCUUCGACCGUCCCUCCGACCCAGCCACGACCCUCCCCAUCACCCACCGUCCCUCAGCAGCCCACAUCAGUCCAACUCACAUCAGUCCAGCCAUCUACAGAGGAUCAACAAGAUGAUGAAGAUGAUUCUGAUGACUAUGUAGUAUUUUAGUUUUAUUUUAUUAUUGAUCAUAGGUGUUAGUUAGUACAUUUGAAUUUUAGUACAUUUGAAUUUUAGUACAUCAUGAUUUUGGUACAUUA